GGAUUGGCCACCAGGCUCAAACAAUCCUCACCAGAAUCCAACCAAGCAAUCACCCCAGGUAAACAAUUCUCCAAACACAUUCCACAUGGGAAAAACAAGGAGCAGAAAUACAAAUUGUUUUCUCUCUCUUUCUUCUGUACUACUCUAUGAAAAAUCCUGGAAGAAAGAAGGAUGUCCCUGUGACAACAGUGCAAGGCCAAAAAAAUCACCGAAGACCCUUGGAUCUCCCAGCAGAACUCAGCGUGAGGUGUUAAUCACAAGCAAGCACAGAGGCUGGUGCCAGAUCUCCUCCCUGGACAUGGCAACAAGGACAGCUCUGGGAACAAUCACGCCGUGAGGAGAAGGACACGAAGUUUGAAGGAGGAAAAACUUGCUUGGUUUGGCUCCAGCCACUUGCUGAACACGCUCACAUUUCUCAGGAAGGGCUGUCAGAUCUCCAGUUUUUGCAUCCUGGCUGGAAUUCCACACGUAAAUUUGCCAAGAAGUGCCUUCAGCAGCACAGCACCUCUUCCUGCUCCAACAUCCGAGUGUUUUCCAAGCCAUAACUGCACCUUCAGCAUCCUUUUCUAUGCUGAUCCUAUUUUUUUUAUUGAUCCCUCUUGGUAUCAAAAAAGAUUCCUGGCAACUUUCCAUAGGCUAGCAGACACCCCCGUUAAAUCUGGUGAAAAACUAGAUGUGGAAAUAAUAACUUGUAAUAUUUGAUAUUGGUAAAUUAAAGAUUUCCUCAGGAACCAUACACUUGAAAAA